CUGCUGCUGCUGCUGCUGCUGCUGUACCAUUGCCUGUCCAGAGACUGGUGAAUCAGUGGUUGUAUCUGAAAAGGAGACAAAUGGGACUGAGGAAGAAAAUAUGCCACUUCUUUCUCUGUGUGUAUUUUAAAAGGCAUCGUGUACGUGUGGUAACCCAGUGGUAAGAAGACAUAAAAACCUGAUCUAAGUACUGACUUAGCCUCAGUUAUUUUAUGCCACUGGGAUGGUGUUGUUUUCUUUCACCCUCUUUAAUGCUGCAGACAUUUAUAUUUUCAUGUUGUCAUGGAGACCAGAGGCAAUUCAAAUGAUUUUGUUCAUGAUUGUGGAAUCAUCUGUCUCCUGGAGUCAUCCUGUGAUAGACGCUGUGGACAGAAAAGAUUAAAGAAGCAAAUGGGCAAGGGCGUAUUUAUGCAACGUGACAAGAGCGUGCACAAGGAAGGGUGAUGUCAUAAUGCUUCCCCAGCUCAUACUGCCUGGUGCUUGCUGCUGGUUCUGUGCCUGCUCCCUCCUCUCUCAGGUAACACCACUGUCUACGAUUUUCCUCUGUGGCCUGAUUGGCAAAAGUGUCCCAAGAGUUUGACAAAGGGUGUCCUGAGGUCUUCAACCAAGUCUCAGAGGAUACAUACUUUCUUUCUGGAGAGAAAUGUUUCUUCUUGGAACUUAAAGACAACUUUACCUAGUGUGGUGGUGAUCGGUAUUGCAAGCUUCCAACUCGGGACAGCAUAGGAGUUAAAGUAUUCCACUUUUUGAGACACCCCCUCCUGUCAUCAGACUUGAUACACGUAAAUAGAUUUUGAAAAGAACAGAAAUUCCCCUCCCUCCUGAUUUCUUUC